rnacentral:rRNA from 1 species
CAGCAGCCGCGGUAAUACCGGCGGCCCGAGUGGCGGCCACUAUUAUUGGGCUUAAAGCGUCCGUAGCCGGGUUGGUUAGUCUCCCGGGAAAUCUGGCCGCUUAACGGUCAGAAUUCCGGGAGAUACUGCCAGCCUAGGGACCGGGAGAGGCCGAGGGUAUUCCCGGAGUAGGGGUGAAAUCCUAUAAUCCCGGGAGGACCACCUGUGGCGAAGGCGCUCGGCUGGAACGGGUCCGACGGUGAGGGACGAAGGCCAGGGGAGCAAACCGGAGUAGAUACCCGGGUAGUCCUGGCUGUAAACGAUGCGGACUUUGUGUCGGACAAGCUAUGAGCUUGUCCGGUGCCGGAGGGAAACCGUUAAGUCCGCCGCCUGGGGAGUACGGCCGCAAGGCUGAAACUUAAAGGAAUUGGCGGG